GAAACAAGAAAACACAGGUAGGUUGAACAGGUAACCUACUGGUGAAAAGUAGUGGAAAUGCGGGUGACUAUGUCUCGCCUCCUACUAGAUCCAACCCGAACUCUACAGACUGGGCAUUUUAAAACGAAGAGCCCAGAGGAAAACAUUUAAUAACGUUAGAGUGAGUGGACAAAAAUAAAUUAAUAAAAUAAAAUAUUUAUGUUUCCCCAAAUCAAUUUCCAAGGAAAAAUCGAAUGCAUGCCGCAAGUGAUAAAAACUUUUAUCUCAUAAAAUAUCGAGCCUCUCAAGCUCUAUCAUAUAUGUAUGUAUUUACACAUGUUCAUACUCCCUAUAUAAAUUCAUGGGUCUAUAUAGGGCUACUACGCUCGCGUCCAACGCUCACGUCACGCCUUAAUGCGGUGCUACAUUACGCCAUUAAGGUGGACAGACGGGUGUAUAAAUAUGUGUCCAUACCCCCUAUAUGAAUUAGACACUCAUAUAAGGCUACUACGCUGGCGUCCAACGCUCACGUCACACCAUAAUGCGACUAUAUGCUAGGCCAUUAAGGUGGAUAGACACAUAGGGCUAGCUAGCAUUUAUAUACAUACUCUCUCGUAACUCUCCAAGAGAAAUAAAAUCGUCAAAAUAAAAUGACGUCAAAAUGCUCCACAACAUUAAUUGUUCAUCUAUGAACUAUAGCAUGCAUUUUAUUUAAAACAAAAGUCCACUCACAGUAUGAGGCCUAAGCCUUCCAAUGCUCUGAAUACUCCUCGAGCGCUGCCUCCAACUAUUCACACUCUUUAGCCAAAACCCACGUCUGAUAAUAAACAAAAGAACAAAUCGGUCAGACCGGACCCCAUAAAAAUUAACUAUUCAACUUCUUCCUAGUUCGAUUAGAAUCUCCUAGGUUGACCAGAAAUUGACCAGGCUUGACCCACGUUUGACCAACAGAAAUUAAUAAUCAUUUCGAUUAACUUCACAACUAUAACUCCUUCGGUCCCAAACCAAACCUUAGCCGGUAAUCAAAGUCACAAACAAUUUCCAUGCCUUUAACACAUUAACCAAUUUAUUAAGGGCACCCAAAAAGGGUUUCCCCUAAAUAGAAAGUUUCUAAAAAGGGAAAGUUUCCUAAAAUAGAAACUUUCCUCACUUAGAAAGAUUUCCGAUUACAACCUACCAACUUUCCUAUUACUAAAACGAUACACAACAGCAGGGAAAAACGUCGAUAACUACCUCGAUAGUCUCUGCCUGAUUCUACCCUCGCCGGAAUCUCUUGCCGGAAAAUUCACCAUAAUCUCCCUGCAUCUUCCAAUCUCCAAGUUAUCAACAAUCAUGCAGAAAAUAAAUGAUUCAAACACCAACCAACAACAACACAGCAGCUCCAACAUACUAGAGGAGAUCGAGUUUACCUUCAGUCGAUCCCAUAACUCUAGUCUAGCUGCUCUCCUGCCGGAUCCUAACCUGCAGAAACCUCCAACCAUUUAUAUUUGCUGCCUCGGUCGCCAACUCCACCAAAUCAACACCCCACACUUCGAUUCCUCUCAAUCCUAACGCACCCGACCUCUGCCUCAGCCCCGAUCGAUAUGCAACUCCACCCUUGUCUGUCUCAACUUCACACAAAGCUCGUAGGACCUACCAAAACGCUGAAGAACUCGCCAUAAACCACCGAGCGCCGGUCGCCGAAGCUAGGAGCUCGAAACCCGGAAAACACAGAAAAAGGGGUUUUCAAUUAGGGCACGAUUUGGGGAAAAGAAAGGUACCAAAAGGUGAAGUAGGAAGAGAGGAAGAUAACCCUACCUCCCACUUGUCACGCCGUGGUCGGAAUCUCGAGGAUUCGUCGAAAAACAGCCGAGCUUCUCUCCCUCGGUUUGGCUUUGAAUCGGGCUAACAUCGAGUUCUAUGGACCGGGUUAGAUAGAAGAGAAGGAGAGGAAGAGAUUGGUGGUGGCCGGACGGUAGCACUCCGGAGCGGGGGAACGACGGAGAAGAAAGAGAGUGAAGGGAGAGACUGGAGCUCGGAUCAACGCUCCCAAUUGGGUUUGACAAAGUCAACCCAGCUCUUUUUCCUUUAUACUGAAAUCAACGGUCAAGAUCGAAACCCUACUUGAUCAUACGGCCAAGAUUAAAUGAGCAGUUCUAAUUUCAGAAAAUACUUCAAAGCUCCGAAAAUAAACCGAAAAUACCAGAGAACCCGUGUCGAUGCGAACUACAACACCGAGACCUUAAAGAAGAAUUUGACAUUUCCAGAAAAACUCGCAAAUAAACUCAAGUGUUAACUUAUAAAGUUACCGAGCACGGUUAAAUUCUUCAGUAACUCGUAUAAUACCCAGUAAAAGGGGUAAAAUUAAGUCCGGGAUGUUACAGUGGUGCUCCUCGUUUCGCUCACUUUUAGGUCACAUUUUUACAUCUCCACCGUUCAGUGUCUAGAACAUAGUGUGUAGAUCAUUUCUGCAAAAUUUCAUCUAAUUUAGAGAUCAUUUGAGCUUCUGUAAUUAUGAUUCACACGAACGGUCGUUUGGACAGAUUUUAUUUAGUUAAUUCACUUAAUCUAAUUCGGUAUCCAAAUGAUCUCCAAAUUAGAUGAAACUUUGCAAGAAUGAUCUACACAUUAUGUUCUAUACACUGAAUGGUGGAGAUGUGAAAAUGUGACCUAAAAGUGAGCGAAACGAGGAGCACCACAUUUUAAUUUCAAAGCGGUGCCCCGCUCUAGAAGGGAACUGCAUAUACAUAUACAUAUACACAGUGACGGAGCCAGGAUUUGAAUCUUGGGGGGGGGAAGGGGGGUGACAUUCAAAACAAAGAGAGUACGGAGAAUAAAUGCUAUAAUUAAAAAGUUUUACCCUCCUUAUUAAGUCUAUAAAAUAAAGUAAUUGAAUAAAUUAGACAUUAAUGGUAAUUAAUUGCAAAAGAUCCUAAUGCUAAGCAACAUUUACAUAAUUCUUUCUAUAAAUUAGGUGUAAUUAGUACAUAUUGAGUAUUAUGAAUUCUAAAUUUUUCCUCUUUAAUUGCUCUUACUUGUUUUGGUCGUUGAUUAAGGGGGGUUGAGUGAUGGAAUUAACACUAAACUUCUUCAUUUGGAUGAGAUUAUGUAGUGUUUAUGGGAAGUUUGAAAAACGUUGGCAGGGGUUUGGCCUGAAAGUAGUUUCGCCCCUGCAUAUACAUAUACAGGUCUAAUACAAUACUUCGCAUGAUAGAAUAGCUUUCAUGGAGUCGCUGAUUAGAUCACAGGAUCUAGAAUGAAAGUUUAGGGAUAUGACGAGUUUGUUAAUAUAUAGUCUGCUUGGUUGGACAAUAUCCAUGUGGAACCAAC
rnacentral:lncRNA from 1 species